rnacentral:rRNA from 1 species
UUUCGCAAUGCCCGAAAGGGUGACGAAGCGACGCCGCGUGUGGGAAGAAGGCCUUCGGGUUGUAAACCACUGUCAGGAGUUAAGAAGUGUAAUGGUGCGAAUAGCGCCAUUACUUGACUAAGGCUCCAGAGGAAGCCACGGCUAACUCUGUGCCAGCAGCCGCGGUAAUACAGAGGUGGCAAGCGUUGUUCGGAAUUAUUGGGCGUAAAGAGCACGUAGGCGGUUCUGCAAGUCGGCUGUGAAAGCCUUCCGCUCAACGGAAGAACAGCAGUUGAUACUACAGGACUAGAGUGCGGGAGGGGAGAGUGGAACUUCUGGUGGAGCGGUGAAAUGCGUAGAUAUCAGAAGGAACGCCGGCGGCGAAAGCGACUCACCGGCCCGUAACUGACGCUGAGUGUGCGAAAGCUAGGGGAGCAAACGGGAUUAGAUACCCCGGUAGUCCUAGCCGUAAACGAUGGGCACUAAGUAGAGGGGUUUUA